AUUCGAUGAUCUACAUUGAUUCCAAUCCAACCACAUGUGAAUUUAGUUUCUUGCAUAAUAUGCCUCUGUUAUUACUAAUGCAGGAAGAUCAAAACAGAAGUAAUGCGGCUUGCUGCAGUUUGUCAUCAACAGGAGAGGCCAUCCAUGGGAAGUACUGUUGUUUAAGCAUCAGCACUCUAGUCAAUAACCAUGUAGAAGCAAUAACCAAUCUAUACUAGAUACAAAGCACAAGUGCUUAAGGACGACAAAAAUCCUAGGUGGCACUCUCUAAGAAACUCUACACGUGUCAUCCUUCAAACAAGUCCUUCUCCCACACCCUUUUCAGAGUUGAGUUCUCCUUGCAAGAACCACAGAACUGCUGUAACCUUCCCCGUUUUCUCCCAGUUUGUCAGUAAAGUCAAGGAGCACGAAUUCGACAAAUUGGGGGAAUUGGAAACUUUUGAAAUUCAAAUUGAAUUUCUUUUAUCUCUCUCUAUCCAUAUUUGUUUUCAAAUUCUGGAUCUCUCUCAAAAUUAUUUUCCUCUUCCUGCUCCGGAAACGAAACUCUACCCUCUUCUCUGUUGUCCCCUCAAUUUCGCAUUCACCUCACCUUCCUUCUCUGCUAACGGUGGCGCUGGAUCAUCAACGACCGUGCAUACCUUCCUUGCACCGCCACCGCUCCCAAAUCUCCAGAUCUCGCGCGUACUAUCCCUCUGCCACUGUUCCUCCGUUGCGCCGCCUCCAGCCAACACCUCCUUCAUCUUGUGUGUCGAAGCCACACACAGCAACUUUCAAACCCCGGUGCUUCUGAAAAAUCCAUCGGGUAUUGGUAUUAAGGAAAGGUAUUACCUUGUGCUGAGACAGAAGCUUUCAGGGUUCUUUGUGAAUUUUUUAUUGUAGAGCUUUUGAUUUCUAUCUGGGGCCUGGAGUUUGGAGAGCUUGAUAGGUGAAGAUGCUAACAUAUGGAGAAUCCAGAAUUCACUUGAAGAGGGCUUUUUCCAUCGGAUCGAGAUGCACAGAUUGAAAGCAUUUUGACAGAACAUUGUAGAUCGAUGAACUCCUACAUGUGAUAUGGACGGAUCUCUAGCCGUUUCAUAUGGUCGGUUCAUGCUUCCUAAAUCUGGGUUUUGUUGAAAUGAGGGCCUGAAGACCUGUAUAUCUCAAGACUGAGAGAUCAAAGAUGAUAUGUCUAAAGGAGGAGAAAAAACAUGAAGAGAGGAAAGCUCAGGCUCUGUUUGAGAUUUUGUGUUCAUAGGUCAACUUGGAGAUCGACAAAGCAAUUAGAGUGCGCAAAGUCCUGUUUUAUUUGAAAUCUUGGUAUGUACAUAGUUACCGAAGCUAUUUGUGGAACCAUGCAGCAAGUACAAGGGUGCAAAAAUAUGGAUUUUCAAGUGAAUCAAGUACUCUAAUGUGAUUGCAGGAUGGUGAACUAAUGAGGAUCUGAUCAUAUCGAUCUUGGGUCAUCGGAAUGCUGCUCAAAGGAAGCCUAUCAGGGAAACUUAUGGAGAAGAUCUUCUCAAGGCCUUGGACAAAGAGUUGACCAGUGACUUUGAGGUUUGGGCCCUUGAUUCCGCUAAACGUGAUGCAUUUUUGGCAAACGAAGCAACUGAGAGAUGAACUUCAAGCAAUCAGGUUCUGGGAGCCUGCACUAGGUCCUCUGAACAAUUGUUUGCUACGAGAAAGGCUUAUCAUGCUCUUCAUAAGAAGUCUCUCGAGGAGGAUGUUGCUCAUCAUACAACAGAGGACUUCCGUAAGUGGAUCAACUGAUAGAAACAUAAGCAUUUGGAAGAGAGAUGCUUUUGGGUGAAAGAAUUAGAUUUGAAGGCAAUGAUAUUUUAUUAGCUCUUCAAUUAUUGAAUAUGUCUCUUUUGCUUCAAUGAUUAUGGUCAUGUAGAUUAUUUCCUAUCUAAUAUGAUUUUUCAUCUUUAGUUAGUGCAGCAUGUUGACACCACUGACUCUACUAUGCUGCCAGCUGAAGAAUCACAAAAGUGGUUGAGCAUAAACUUUUAUUUUUCCUUUUCUCAACAAGUUUAUGUUGCUAGGUUCAUAUGAAAUCCUAUUGGGAGAGGAAAUGUCAGAGCCGAGAUAGAGAGGGAAUUGGAAGCUCCACUAUAAUAAUAGAAUUUUGAGAUCACGUUUCUUGGAACAACUUCACUGUGAGGAUUUUUUUUCUAAGUAUUUUGUAGUGAGCUUAUGUUUGCUCAUUUAUCAAACAAUCUUUUGGUUUGUAGAUUUGUUGUCUCUGAAUUGCAUGUCCAGCUUUUUGUUGAACGCUUUGUUGUUUUAGUUCAAUGCAGAGAAUGUUCGGUGUCUCA